rnacentral:rRNA from 1 species
GGCGGCCGUAACUAUAACGGUCCUAAGGUAGCGAAAUUCCUUGUCGGGUAAGUUCCGACCCGCACGAAAGGCGCAACGAUCUGGGCACUGUCUCAACGAGAGACUCGGUGAAAUUAUAGUACCUGUGAAGAUGCAGGUUACCCGCGACAGGACGGAAAGACCCCGUGGAGCUUUACUGCAACCUGAUAUGGAAUGUUUGUACCGCUUGUACAGGAUAGGUAGGAGCCGAAGAGACGUGUGCGCUAGCAUACGAGGAGGCAAUGGUGGGAUACUACCCUGGCUGUAUGACCAUUCUAACCCGCCACGCUUAGCGCGUGGGGAGACAGUGUCAGGUGGGCAGUUUGACUGGGGCGGUCGCCUCCUAAAGAGUAACGGAGGCGCCCAAAGGUUCCCUCAGAAUGGAUGGAAAUCAUUCGCAGAGUGUAAAGGCACAAGGGAGCUUGACUGCGAGACUGACAAGUCGAGCAGGGACGAAAGUCGGGCUUAGUGAUCCGGUGGUUCCGCAUGGAAGGGCCAUCGCUCAACGGAUAAAAGCUACCCCGGGGAUAACAGGCUUAUCUCCCCCAAGAGUCCACAUCGACGGGGAGGUUUGGCACCUCGAUGUCGGCUCGUCGCAUCCUGGGGCUGUAGUCGGUCCCAAGGGUUGGGCUGUUCGCCCAUUAAAGCGGCACGCGAGCUGGGUUCAGAACGUCGUGAGACAGUUCGGUCCCUAUCCGUCGCGGGCGCAGGAAAUUUGAGAGGAGCUGUCCUUAGUACGAGAGGACCGGGAUGGACACACCGCUGGUGUACCAGUUGUUCCGCCAGGAGCAUCGCUGGGUAGCUAUGUGUGGCAGGGAUAAACGCUGAAAGCAUCUAAGCGUGAAGCCCCCCUCAAGAUGAGAUUUCCCAUUUCUUCGGAAAGUAAGAUCCCUGAAAGAUGAUCAGGUAGAUAGGUUUGGAGUGGAAGUGUAGCGAUAC